AUAGACUUAUCCAUCUGGUUUCAUAACUACAGCAAGUAGGUUUACGAAAUGAGCAUAGGACAAAUAAAACUACUGACAGGCAUCACAUGAAACCAUUAUGAAAUCUUAAUAAAUGACAAAUAGAAUCAAAUAAGUGUCAAAGUAGACCCAUAUUUGUACCACAGUAAAUGACACUAAUCAUCACAUGACCUCAGCUGACAAACUGAACUCAACACCACCAGGUUCAACAGAACAACUAAAACCAACCCACAGAACCACAUUUGGACUAACGGUACCUUACCUUAGAACCUCCAUCAUUCUAGUUCUAUAUUUACAACAAAAAG